AAGGCUUUAAGUUAAUUAAACUAAUAGUCUUCAAAACUAUUUAUAUUAGUAUGAAUCUUUUAAGCCUUA
rnacentral:tRNA from 1 species